CCUACGGGUGGCAGCAGUGAGGAAUAUUGGUCAAUGGUCGGGAGACUGAACCAGCCAAGCCGCGUGAGGGAUGAAGGUACAGAGUAUCGUAAACCUCUUUUGUCAGGGAACAAAGGCGGGGACGCGUCCCCGGAUGAGUGUACCUGAAGAAAAAGCAUCGGCUAACUCCGUGCCAGCAGCCGCGGUAAUACGGAGGAUGCGAGCGUUAUCCGGAUUUAUUGGGUUUAAAGGGUGCGUAGGCGGAAUAUCAAGUCAGCGGUAAAAAUUCGGGGCUCAACCCCGUCGUGCCGUUGAAACUGAUGUUCUUGAGUGGGCGAGAAGUAUGCGGAAUGCGUGGUGUAGCGGUGAAAUGCAUAGAUAUCACGCAGAACUCCGAUUGCGAAGGCAGCAUACCGGCGCCCAACUGACGCUGAAGCACGAAAGCGUGGGUAUCGAACAGGAUUAGAUACCCCAGUAGUC
rnacentral:rRNA from 1 species